GGGUUGUGAGGUUAAGCGACUAAGCGUACACGGUGGAUGCCCUGGCAGUCAGAGGCGAUGAAGGGCGUGCUAAUCUGCGAUAAGCGCCGGUAAGGUGAUAUGAACCGUUAUAACCGGCGAUACCCGAAUGGGGAAACCCAGUGUGAUUCGUCACACUAUCAUUAACUGAAUCCAUAGGUUAAUGAGGCGAACCGGGGGAACUGAAACAUCUAAGUACCCCGAGGAAAAGAAAUCAACCGAGAUUCCCCCAGUAGCGGCGAGCGAACGGGGAGGAGCCCAGAGCCUGAAUCAGCAUGUGUGUUAGUGGAAGCGUCUGGAAAGGCGCGCGAUACAGGGUGACAGCCCCGUACACAAAAGCGCAUGUGCUGUGAGCUCGAUGAGUAGGGCGGGACACGUGGUAUCCUGUCUGAAUAUGGGGGACCAUCCUCCAAGGCUAAAUACUCCUGACUGACCGAUAGUGAACCAGUACCGUGAGGGAAAGGCGAAAAGAACCCCGGCGAGGGGAGUGAAAAAGAACCUGAAACCGUGUACGUACAAGCAGUGGGAGCACAGGUUUACCUGUGUGACUGCGUACCUUUUGUAUAAUGGGUCAGCGACUUAUAUUCUGUAGCAAGGUUAACCGAAUAGGGGAGCCGGAGGGAAACCGAGUCUUAAUUGGGCGUUAAGUUGCAGGGUAUAGACCCGAAACCCGGUGAUCUAGCCAUGGGCAGGUUGAAGGUUGGGUAACACUAACUGGAGGACCGAACCGACUAAUGUUGAAAAAUUAGCGGAUGACCUGUGGCUGGGGGUGAAAGGCCAAUCAAACCGGGAGAUAGCUGGUUCUCCCCGAAAGCUAUUUAGGUAGCGCCUCGUGAAUUCAUCUCCGGGGGUAGAGCACUGUUUCGGCUAGGGGGCCAUCCCGGCUUACCAACCCGAUGCAAACUGCGAAUACCGGAGAAUGUUAUCACGGGAGACACACGGCGGGUGCUAACGUCCGUCGUGAAGAGGGAAACAACCCAGACCGCCAGCUAAGGUCCCAAAGUCAUGGUUAAGUGGGAAACGAUGUGGGAAGGCCCAGACAGCCAGGAUGUUGGCUUAGAAGCAGCCAUCAUUUAAAGAAAGCGUAAUAGCUCACUGGUCGAGUCGGCCUGCGCGGAAGAUGUAACGGGGCUAAACCAUGCACCGAAGCUGCGGCAGCGACGCUUAUGCGUUGUUGGGUAGGGGAGCGUUCUGUAAGCCUGUGAAGGUGGCCUGUGAGGGUUGCUGGAGGUAUCAGAAGUGCGAAUGCUGACAUAAGUAACGAUAAAGCGGGUGAAAAGCCCGCUCGCCGGAAGACCAAGGGUUCCUGUCCAACGUUAAUCGGGGCAGGGUGAGUCGACCCCUAAGGCGAGGCCGAAAGGCGUAGUCGAUGGGAAACGGGUUAAUAUUCCCGUACUUGGUGUUACUGCGAAGGGGGACGGAGAAGGCUAUGUUGGCCGGGCGACGGUUGUCCCGGUUUAAGCGUGUAGGUGUGUGUUCCAGGUAAAUCCGGUUCACUUUAACACUGAGGCGUGAUGACGAGGCACUACGGUGCUGAAGUAACAAAUGCCCUGCUUCCAGGAAAAGCCUCUAAGCAUCAGGUAACAUCAAAUCGUACCCCAAACCGACACAGGUGGUCAGGUAGAGAAUACCAAGGCGCUUGAGAGAACUCGGGUGAAGGAACUAGGCAAAAUGGUGCCGUAACUUCGGGAGAAGGCACGCUGACACGUAGGUGAAGUGAUUUACUCAUGGAGCUGAAGUCAGUCGAAGAUACCAGCUGGCUGCAACUGUUUAUUAAAAACACAGCACUGUGCAAACACGAAAGUGGACGUAUACGGUGUGACGCCUGCCCGGUGCCGGAAGGUUAAUUGAUGGGGUCAGCGCAAGCGAAGCUCCUGAUCGAAGCCCCGGUAAACGGCGGCCGUAACUAUAACGGUCCUAAGGUAGCGAAAUUCCUUGUCGGGUAAGUUCCGACCUGCACGAAUGGCGUAAUGAUGGCCAGGCUGUCUCCACCCGAGACUCAGUGAAAUUGAACUCGCUGUGAAGAUGCAGUGUACCCGCGGCAAGACGGAAAGACCCCGUGAACCUUUACUAUAGCUUGACACUGAACAUUGAGCCUUGAUGUGUAGGAUAGGUGGGAGGCUUUGAAGCGUGGACGCCAGUCUGCGUGGAGCCGACCUUGAAAUACCACCCUUUAAUGUUUGAUGUUCUAACGUGGACCCGUGAUCCGGGUUGCGGACAGUGUCUGGUGGGUAGUUUGACUGGGGCGGUCUCCUCCUAAAGAGUAACGGAGGAGCACGAAGGUUGGCUAAUCCUGGUCGGACAUCAGGAGGUUAGUGCAAUGGCAUAAGCCAGCUUGACUGCGAGCGUGACGGCGCGAGCAGGUGCGAAAGCAGGUCAUAGUGAUCCGGUGGUUCUGAAUGGAAGGGCCAUCGCUCAACGGAUAAAAGGUACUCCGGGGAUAACAGGCUGAUACCGCCCAAGAGUUCAUAUCGACGGCGGUGUUUGGCACCUCGAUGUCGGCUCAUCACAUCCUGGGGCUGAAGUAGGUCCCAAGGGUAUGGCUGUUCGCCAUUUAAAGUGGUACGCGAGCUGGGUUUAGAACGUCGUGAGACAGUUCGGUCCCUAUCUGCCGUGGGCGCUGGAGAACUGAGGGGGGCUGCUCCUAGUACGAGAGGACCGGAGUGGACGCAUCACUGGUGUUCGGGUUGUCAUGCCAAUGGCACUGCCCGGUAGCUAAAUGCGGAAGAGAUAAGUGCUGAAAGCAUCUAAGCACGAAACUUGCCCCGAGAUGAGUUCUCCCUGAGACUUAGAGUCUCCUGAAGGAACGUUGAAGACGACGACGUUGAUAGGCCGGGUGUGUAAGCGCAGCGAUGCGUUGAGCUAACCGGUACUAAUGAACCGUGAGGCUUAACCUUACAACGCCGAAG
rnacentral:rRNA from 1 species